rnacentral:snRNA from 1 species
AUACUUACUUCGGCAACACAUAUACUAAAAUUGGGACAAUACAGAGAUUAGCAUGGCUCAUGUGCAAGGAUGACAUGGAAAUUCAUGAAGAGUUCCAUAUUUUU